AUGAGAAGUAUAAGAAAGAGUUGGAGAAGGUGCACAAGGAGUUGGAUACACUUGGUGAUCAGUACCAGUCGGCUGGUUGAGGAUGUCACCAAGAUGUUUGAUUGGGCAGAUCAGAACAACAUGGUCAUUAGUGAUGAAGAGUUCAAGCAGAAGCAGAUGGAUGUGGACAAGGACAUGGAGAAGCUAGCUAUCAGCAAGGAGAAGGAGAGUGAUGCCAUUGGCAAGAUGAAGGAGAUGGAGAAACUAGCUCAGGAGCACAAGGAGAUGACGUGCAUUCUUAGAUCUCAGGGAGAGAUCAUUAGGAACACCAGGAAGGAGAGGGAUGACUUCAAGGAAGAGAGGGACUGGCUGAUAGAGGAGAAGAAGAAGCUGGAGUUUCUGGUGGGUGAUCUUAUGAAAGCUGGUCAUGGCAACAAGGACAAGCUUGCCAAGAUCAAGUCAAUCCUUGGUGAGUGA
rnacentral:rRNA from 1 species